rnacentral:rRNA from 1 species
UACAUAGGCCCCAAGCGUUAUCCGGAAUUACUGGGUGUAAAGCGUCUGUAGGCGGGAAUAUAAGUCUUCCAUGAAAGACCGGAGCUCAACUCCGUGUUUGUGGGAGAUACUGUAUUUCUAGAAUUAGGGAGAGGGAAGCGGAACGAUAUGAGUAGGGGUGCAAUCCGUUGAUACAUAUCAGAACACCAAAAGCGAAGGCAGCUUCCUGGAACUAUAUUGACGCUGAGAGACGAAAGCGUGGGGAGCGAAAAGG